rnacentral:rRNA from 1 species
AGGGAGCCUGAGAGAUGGCUCCCACGUCCAAGGACGGCAGCAGGCGCGAAAAUUGCCCACUCUCUCGCGAGGAGGCGGUUACGAGGCGUGACGGAAGGGCGCACUGUAAAGAUGUGCGCGAACGCGAUUGGAGGGCAAGUUCGGUGCCAGCAGCCGCGGUAAUACCGACUCCAAGAGUGUCUAUGGUGGAUGCUGCAGUUAAAAAGUCCGUAGUCGGCACUGCGACGAAAGCGCGCCGUUCGAUGGCGCAGGCGUUGCAGGGGCUUGCGGAGCGGGCGGGGGGCACGGUAUAGGCAGGCGAGAGAUGAAAUGGCCAAGACCCUGCCUGGACCGACGGCGGCGAAGGCGGUGCCCUCGCACGCAUCUGUGGAUCAAGGACGAAGGCCGGAGGAUCGAAAGUGAUUAGAGACCGCUGUAGUUCCGGCAGUAAACGAUGCCGACACCGCGCGGCGGCGCUGCGCGGGGGGGAAACCUUAGUGUUCGGGCUCUGGGGAUAGUAUGCUCGCAAGUG